UUUAGAUGUUGUGACUUGUGGUAGAUCUGGCAGUGCUGGGUUAACAGUGGAAUUAAUGACCUUAAAGUUCUUUUCCAACCUAAAUUAUACUAUGAUUCUGGUCAGUCAGCCCAGAUCUCUCCUCUGCCUUUUCAGCUUUUCAAAAUGGUUAUGUAUAUUCACAAAUUACUGAACUUAUUGCAUUUUCCUCUCAUUCACAAGGAUCUGGAAGCACACAGAAAGGACAGGAGCACAAUUUGACUGCCUUCCUGGCCUGCCAUCCUGGAUCUGGUGACUUGCAGCCCUGGUGCUCUGUCCCUGGAGGACAAAGAAUUCCUAUUUUUGAAGCAUGGGAGAGAUGGGAAAACACGCUACUUCCUUCAUUUUGUGAACUCUGUACCAGUCACUUGUCGUCUGCCACUUCCUCCCCACCACCGUGCAAAGAGCAAAGAAUUGAAUUUAGGUCCUUCGAGGCCUAAAGAAUUGAUCCAGGAUGCCUCAUUCCUGC
rnacentral:lncRNA from 12 species